UCUCGCGGACAGCGCGGCUGUGCGGGUGGAGAGCUGUCGGAUAUUAAAUCAGAAUAAUUGAGGCUAGGAACUCAAAAGCAAGUUUUUACAGUCAAUGGAGUCAUCGGGAUCUGAAUAUCAUUUGCAUUUGACUGUGGACGGAGAAAGAAUGAGGCUGUCACUGGCUCGGCCAGCAUUUAUUGCUGCGUU